UCCCGCUGCCCAGGGUGUAUCGCAGCCACCCGGGGCCGUGCCGAGUACACAGUGUUCCCUUCCCGCCCUGAACUGCGACUGAACUUCCCCAGCCCGCCGAGCACCGGGGAGCGCGCCGAUCCCCUCCAGGGCGCGGAGGGAGAGGCAGGGAAGAGGAAAAGCAAGAGGGGCGGAGGGAAGGAAGUUCCAAAAGUAAGCCAGGAUUAGCAGUGCUGAAGAGGAAUAAAAUAUAAUUGAUGUGAACUUAAAGGAUUUUCCUUUAGACUGUGUGUGAGAUGGAAUUGCUCUGGGGAUGAAUAAGACGUGUGCAGCAAUAGAAGCAUUUGUCUGCAGGAGUCAGAUUUCAUUUCUUUCUGGAGUCUGAAAAAGCUGAUUGGUGCCUAACAACACUUUUUGUGGGGAAAAAUGCAUUUGGGGUUUGAUAUGGCUUUUAAAAAUUUUCUUCUUGAAUUGGUAUUAGAAUUAUGGGGUUUGUUUUGCUUCCUUGAUGCCUGAUGCAUAAACUAAUUAUGACAAGACCCUACCAGUCCUGUACUAUUAGGUGAAGCUUCCCUUCCCCUGCCUGGCUCUCAAGGAGGCAGAGAAGUCUAGAGGGGAGGCAGAUGGCAGCAUGCACAGACAGGGAGGAAAAUGCUCUCAUUUUGGGUGAGCUCUUGAAGAAGGACUCUUUAUGCUUCUGCAGUUUUUCUACAUCCUAAAUAAUGUAUAGUUUUCCAAAAGGGACAUUUUCUGCCACAAAAUACUUCCUCUGGAAAGUUUACAGUAAGGGGUUCUGAUUGACACAGGAGAUUCCAGGAAAAAAAAAAAAGGAAGUUAUGGAGAAGGCAUGGGUCAGUCCAUGUUUCUGCCACAAAGCUGUGUUGGUUUUGGUUAAGUUGUUGUACAUUAACUUUUCACAGUCACCAAAUCUCCCCUGUUUUACAGGCAGCUGCAUUGAGGCCUUUGUAAAGGUAACAUAUGUUUACAGAUGCAGAAAACACCACCUAAAUUCAGUAUAAAACACUCUAGAGGUUUAGAGGUCUCAAUGACAAGUUUUUCAAAUAGGAUUUUCACAAAUACAAGCCCUUUGUUAAACUGAGAUUAUCACUAUUUAUUCAUGUUGAAGUUGUUGUGGAAAUAAAUUAAUUAAUGAUAAUUUAAAAUUACUAUCACAGAAAAAGACAUAAUAACAUAGUGACAAGUUGAACUUUGAGAGCAGACUGAGAAAGCUGUGCAGGCAUUGAUGAGAAAACAUCAUAGCUGCUCAUACUUUAAACCAGUGCUAUGGGUGGAUUGGGGCAAGGAAGGAGAGUUAUUUGAACAAGUCACAAAGGAAAUGCAUGGAGGACCUUUUCAGGGCUUUGCAAUUUUAAUAAUGCUUUUUGUGGAACACAGAAAAAUGAUAGUUGGUAAGUAGAGCUCCCCUAAUACAAUAAAAGACAUUCUAGUAUCUAUUUUAGUGGUUACAGUUUUGAAGGACCUGCAAGCUUGUAGGACCACUGAACUGCCUGUAUUAAAACAUGUAUUGUAUCUCUGUCAUAUAGUCUGAAUAACCUACUGUGCCUGGUCUGUAACCCUUUUGAAUAACCUCAACAACUCAGUUGCAAAAAGUCUAUUUUGCUGAAGGAAAAAAAUCCAACUUCUUGGGUAUUUGCAUUUUGAACUACCCAGGAAGGAUUAGGUACUAAACACUUUGAAACAUCCAAUCCCACCUUACAAUUUAAUUACAUUAUAAUAGAAAUAUUAACUUCUGAUUUCCUUGACCUGACUGGGGAGAAGACCCACUUUAUCCCAUCAGCUAAAAGCUUGUGCAUUUUGUAAGGCAUGAUUUUCCUUGAAGUCUUAACUGAAGAAGUUUCAAUUGCUAGUUUCAUAAUCUUUUAAAAAACACACCUCAGAUUCAUAUGUACAAAAAUUAAUUUCCCAGAGAAGGAUUUUAAUAUACUGCAAUUUCUCAAAGAAUUUAAAAUGUCCUGUUCUUUUAUUAUCUGGUCAGAGAGAAUGAGCUGCUUGCAACUAGUCAAGAGCUAAGAAAGCAUUUUUCAGAUAUUUGAUAGAUCAUUCAGCAGACAAUGACUCAAAAGACCAAUAUGUGCCCCAAAAGGCCAUGUACUGUAUGCUAAGAAAGGUGAACUUAAUAAAAAUAAACUACUGUAUUGAUAAAAAAAUUGGCCAAAACAUUACUUUAAAAAUUGUAACAAUUCAGAGCUUACCCUAGUACUUCUAUUUACUUGUAGGACAUUUCUUUCUGGCUUUUAUCUAUCUGUAUGUUUUCCAGUGUUUUUUUACAAAA